GGCGAAAUAGGUUGGUGACCAAUAGGUUAAACAAAAGUUGUCUAUGGUCAUAAGUUUUGUGGCCAAAAAAAGUUGAGUGAGACAUUUCGCGCUCAUUCACUUCCGCCUCCCUCUCGGUCGCAACUGUUUUGCAUCUUGUUUCAUCGCGUUUCACGAUGCCCCGCUUCAACUACGAUUCCACCACGGCCGUCUGCAUCGCCACGGGAUUGUCCCAUCAAGGCGAUGCACGGUAUAAAG